GACGAACGCUGGCGGCGUGCCUAAUACAUGCAAGUUGAGCGCUGAAGGUUGGUACUUGUACCGACUGGAUGAGCAGCGAACGGGUGAGUAACGCGUGGGGAAUCUGCCUUUGAGCGGGGGACAACAUUUGGAAACGAAUGCUAAUACCGCAUAAAAACUUUAAACACAAGUUUUAAGUUUGAAAGAUGCAAUUGCAUCACUCAAAGAUGAUCCCGCGUUGUAUUAGCUAGUUGGUGAGGUAAAGGCUCACCAAGGCGAUGAUACAUAGCCGACCUGAGAGGGUGAUAGGCCACAUUGGGAAUGAGACACGGCCCAAACUCCUACGGGAGGCAGCAGGAGGGAAUCGUCGGCAAUGGACGAAAGUCUGACCGAGCAACGCCGCGUGAGUGAAGAAGGGUGUCGGAUCGUAAAACUCUGUUGGUAGAGAAGAACGUUGGUGGGAGUGGAAAGCUCAUCAAGUGACGGUAACUACACAGAAAGGGACGGCUAACUACGUG
rnacentral:rRNA from 1 species